rnacentral:lncRNA from 12 species
CGUUCAUGUUAUCAGUAAGGCUCUGGUCAAUAGUCGGCUAUUAGUAGUUAAGUGUUGGAGGAGUCAAAGGUUAUAAGGGAAUUUUUGACGCUCGGGGGUUGGGGGCAGUGCCCGUAACCCCCACAGUGUUCAGGGGCCAGCCCUAGUCCCAGUCAUUAGCUGCUCUCGGGUCCCCUGUGUGAGGGGGUAGUCAGUGCUCUUCCUUUGGGCCUUACCCUAACCGCUUAAAAUCUGUCCCUUAUCACGGCCACUCCUCAUCCUCUGCUCUCUCCACCAUGAGUCAGCCCUGCAGAUGUUGGGAGACAGCCUUACCGCCCCUUUGUGUCUCCUUCCCUCCAGCCUAACGACACCCCCCCCCCCCAGUUUCCGGUUCCUCCCAAACCGGCUUAGUUCUCAGUGCACACCCGGUGACUCAAGGUCUCCUUGACAAGCAGGCCCAACCUGAAUCUGUGCCCUUCUCGCUGAUGCCAGGGGUCGGUGGGGCUCAGAGCUACAGGGAAAGCCCCAGGCUUGGAGGUGGGGGCAGCCCCUGCCUUCCAUUUGUUCACAGGCAUGGGUUGGAGCAAGUCCAGGAAGCCUUCUCAACCAGACUGUCCAAACGAUGGUGGGGGAGCCUGCCGCAGUUUAUGAGCUCAGAUUCCCUGCUCACCCGUGAUGCACACCCACCAGGAGGGGACCAGGCUGGCCUGGCGGCCGGGAGAACCUGCAACCCUACCUGGGAUGGCCCAGCCCUGGCUAAAAUGUGGAAUGCUGGACUCUGGAUGUGCAGGCGUCUCCUGGUCCAUGCUGCUGGCUUCUGUGUUGGGUGGCCUUGAGCUACAUGGCAAGUUUGUGCGAAUCUGGCUGUGUGGAUCAUUUCAUAAAGGAACAGAGGAGAGAUUCUGCUGUGGGCUGAGUAUAUUUGUCUCCCCCUCCACCCACAAAUGCAUACGCUGCAGCCUCAUCCCCCACAGGAUGCUGUCGGGCCUUUGGGGUGCGGUGGGUCUAGAAGAGGUCAUGGGUGGGGGGGGUCACUCACCCCACGGCAAACAGCCUCAAAGGCCCUGUUAGACUCGUCUCUUUCCCAGCUGCCCUCCUCGUGGCCGUCGGCUGAGCUUCUUUCCUGGCCACCUCCCACCUGGGGCCUCUUCUCUUCUCUCCCUCUCAGCAGAGAUAAAGCCCUGCCCUGAGACACUGCCUUCCUGAUAAGGCAGUGGAGCAAGUAUGCUCUGAGGACUCCCGUCAUCUCACAUACAGAAGAGCACAAAGAGUGAAAUGAAAACCACAUGGGCAGCCCGGGUGGCUCAGUGGUUUAGCGCUGCCUUCAGCCCAGGGCCUGAUCCUGGAGACCUGGGAUCGAGUCCCACAUCGAGCCUGGCAUGGAACCUGCUUCUCCCUCUGCCUGUGUCUCUGCCUCUCUCUCUCUCUCUCUCUCUCUGUCUCUCAUGAAUAAAUAAAUAAUAAAAUCUUAAAAAAAAAAACCA